UUAAAUAUUCCCAAGGAAAUGAAGAAGUAGCAUCAGAAACAAAAAUGUUCGCUUUGUUGUAUUAAAAGUGUUCAUUCCUAAGGGAUGUCCCCUCAGAAUAUCUAGAAGAUUCUUUCAGACCAGAUUUGAGAUAUAAAAAAGGCAGUCAGCUGGGUGUGGUGGCUCACACCUGUAAUCCCAGCACUUUGGGAGGCUGAGGCAGGUGGAUCACGAGGUCAGGAGUUCAAGACCAGUCUGGGCAACAUGGUGAAACCCCGUCUCUACUAAAAUACAAAAAAUUAGCUGGGCGUGGCUGCAUGCGCCUGUAGUCCCAGCUACUCAGGAGGCUGAGGCAGGAGAAUUGCUUGAGCCCGGGAGGCAGAGGUUGCAAUGAGCUGAGAUUGCGCCACUGCACCCCAGCCUGGGUGACGGAGCAAGACUCCGUCUCAAAGAAAAGGCAGUCACAGGACACAAGGAAUAAAAUGGAAUUACUGAACUAUUACCAUGUACCAGCAGCGUUCUCAUCAUUUUCACACCCACAUUCAGUGAUUUAACCCUCAUCCCCAUCCUGUGAGAUAUAGCUAUUGUUAGCUUCACUUUAUAAGUAACAAAGCCAACACUGGCCCGGCACGUUGGCUCAUGCCUGUAAUCCUAGCACUUUGGGAGGCAAAGGCAGGCAGAUUGCCUGAACCCAGGAGUUCAAGACCAGCCUGGGUAACAUAGCAAGACCCUGUCUCUACAAAAAGAAAAGAGAAAAGGCAGCAGCCAAAGCUUAGAGGGGUUAUGUGCCUAAUUUGGAGUCACACAGCUAGCUGGGAAUCUAAUCUGGGUCUGUCGAACUCCAAAGCCCUUCCUCUUUCUUCUUACUCAGCUGUCUCCCUCAGGUUAUCUUUAGGCCUUGGGUUACCUAUGUGAAUGUUUCUCUGCUUGUAAAUACCACUUGGUCUGUGACCCUACUCUAAGCAUAAAUGGAGGGACUAGAAGAAUUAGACUAACAAAUACAUUCAGCUCCUAAACACCCUCAAGUUAGUAUAGAUUUCAGAAUCAAAAGACUUGGAUUUUGGACACGUUAGUCUUUCUGAAUGUAUUUUCCCUUCUCCUACCUGCCUCACAAGAUUAUCACAAGGAUCAAAUAAGACUGUUGGGAAAAACUCCCUUGAUCCUACUUUUUUGGAUUCAGGUGUCCUGUGCCCUGUUCUAGACCUUAUCUCACUAGGUCUUGUUCGAUUCUGCAGGUUGUACAUCCUGGAGACCUGAAGAAUUCUGUUGAAGUCGCACUGAACAAGUUGCUGGAUCCAAUCCGGGAAAAGUUUAAUACCCCUGCCCUGAAAAAACUGGCCAGCGCUGCCUAUCCAGAUCCCUCAAAGCAGAAGCCAAUGGCCAAAGGCCCUGCCAAGAAUUCAGAACCAGAGGAGGUCAUCCCAUCCCGGCUGGAUAUCCGUGUGGGGAAAAUCAUCACUGUGGAGAAGCACCCAGAUGCAGACAGCCUGUAUGUAGAGAAGAUUGACGUGGGGGAAGCUGAACCACGGACUGUGGUGAGCGGCCUGGUACAGUUCGUGCCCAAGGAGGAACUGCAGGACAGGCUGGUAGUGGUGCUGUGCAACCUGAAACCCCAGAAGAUGAGAGGAGUCGAGUCCCAAGGCAUGCUUCUGUGUGCUUCUAUAGAAGGGAUAAACCGCCAGGUUGAACCUCUGGACCCUCCAGCAGGCUCUGCUCCUGGUGAGCACGUGUUUGUGAAGGGCUAUGAAAAGGGCCAACCAGAUGAGGAGCUCAAGCCCAAGAAGAAAGUCUUCGAGAAGUUGCAGGCUGACUUCAAAAUUUCUGAGGAGUGCAUCGCACAGUGGAAGCAAACCAACUUCAUGACCAAGCUGGGCUCCAUUUCCUGUAAAUCGCUGAAAGGGGGGAACAUUAGCUAGCCAGCCCAGCAUCUUCCCCCCUUCUUCCACCACUGAGUCAUCUGCUGUCUCUUCAGUCUGCUCCAUCCAUCACCCAUUUACCCAUCUCUCAGGACACAGAAGCAGCGGGUUUGGACUCUUUAUUCAGUGCAGAACUCGGCAAGGGGCAGCUUAUCCUCCCCAGAACCCAGGAUCAUCCUGUUUGGCUGCAGUGAGAGACCAACCCCUAACAAGGGCUGGGCCACAGCAGGGAGUCCAGCCCUACCUUCUUCCCUUGGCAGCUGGAGAAAUCUGGUUUCAAUAUAACUCAUUUAAAAAUUU
rnacentral:sRNA from 1 species